AUUGAGCGCUGGCGGCAUGCCUUACACAUGCAAGUCGGACGGUAACGGGCCUUCGGGUGCCGACGAGUGGCGAACGGGUGAGUAAUACAUCGGAACGUGCCCGAUCGUGGGGGAUAACGAGGCGAAAGCUUUGCUAAUACCGCAUACGAUCUACGGAUGAAAGCAGGGGACCGCAAGGCCUUGCGCGGACGGAGCGGCCGAUGGCAGAUUAGGUAGUUGGUGGGAUAAAAGCUUACCAAGCCGACGAUCUGUAGCUGGUCUGAGAGGAUGAUCAGCCACACUGGGACUUAGACACGGCCCAGACUCCUACGGGAGGCAGCAGUGGGGAAUUUUGGACAAUGGGCGCAAGCCUUAUCCAGCCAUGCCGCGUGCAGGAUGAAGGCCUUCGGGUUGUAAACUGCUUUUGUACGGAACGAAAAGCCUUCUUUUAAUACAGGAGGGUCAUGACGGUACCGUAAGAAUAAGCACCGGCUAACUACGUG
rnacentral:rRNA from 1 species